GACGAACGCUGGCGGCGUGCUUAACACAUGCAAGUCGAACGGAAAGGCCCUGCUUUUGUGGGGUGCUCGAGUGGCGAACGGGUGAGUAACAAGUGAGUAACCUGCCCUUGACUUUGGGAUAACUUCAGGAAACUGGGGCUAAUAACGGAUAGGAGCUCCUGCUGCAUGGUGGGGGUUGGAAAGUUUCGGCGGUUGGGGAUGGACUCGCGGCUUAUCAGCUUGUUGGUGGGGUAGUGGCUUACCAAGGCUUUGACGGGUAGCCGGCCAGAGAGGGUGACCGGCCACAUCGGGACUGAGAUACGGCCCAUACUCGUACGGGAGGCAGCAGCAGGGAAUAUUGCACAAUGGGCGGAAGCCUGAUGCAGCAACGCCGCGUGCGGGAUGACGGCCUUCGGGUUGUAAACCGCUUUCGCCUGUGACGAAGCGUGAGUGACGGUAAUGGGUAAAGAAGCACCGGCUAAGUACGUG
rnacentral:rRNA from 1 species